UCCCUGGUGGUCUAGUGGUUAGGAUUCAGCACUCUCACUGCUGUGGGCUGGGUUCAGUCCCUGGUCUGAGAC
rnacentral:tRNA from 1 species